UACGGAGGGGGCUAGCGGUGUUCGGAAUUACUGGGCGUAAAGCGCACGUAGGCGGAUUGUUAAGUCGGGGGUGAAAUCCCGGGGCUCAACCCCGGAACUGCCUUCGAUACUGGCGAUCUUGAGGUCGGGAGAGGUGAGUGGAAUGGCGAGUGUAGAGGUGAAAUUCGUAGAUAUUCGCCGGAACACCAGUGGCGAAGGCGGCUCACUGGCCCGAUACUGACGCUGAGGUGCGAAAGCGUGGGGAGCAAACAGG
rnacentral:rRNA from 1 species